GGGGUUUAAGAAGGAAGCUUGCUUUCAUUUUAAACCUAGUGGCGGACGGGUGAGUAACGCGUGAGGAACCUGCCCUUCAGUGGGGAACAACAACUGGAAACGGUUGCUAAUACCGCAUAAUGUCGGAUUGCCGCAUGACGAACCGACCAAAGGAUUUAUUCGCUGAAGGAUGGCCUCGCGUCCGAUUAGGCAGUUGGUGAGGUAACGGCCCACCAAACCUACGAUCGGUAGCCGAACUGAGAGGUUGAUCGGCCACAUUGGGACUGAGACACGGCCCAGACUCCUACGGGAGGCAGCAGUGGGGAAUAUUGGGCAAUGGGCGAAAGCCUGACCCAGCAACGCCGCGUGAAGGAUGACGGUCUUCGGAUUGUAAACUUCUUUAAUUGGGGAAGAACAAAAUGACCUACCCAAAGAAUAAGUCACGGCUAACUACGUGCCAGCAGCCGCGGUAAUACGUAGGUGACAAGCGUUAUCCGGAUUUACUGGGCGUAAAGGGCGUGUAGGCGGUCUUGCAAGUCAGAAGUGAAAUUCCUGGGCUCAACUCGGGCGCUGCUUCUGAAACUGCAGGACUUGAGUGCUGGAGGGGAUAGCGGAAUUCCUAGUGGAGCGGUAAAAUGCGCAGAUAUUAGGAAGAACACCGGUGGCGAAGGCGGCUAUCUGGACAGUAACUGACGCUGA
rnacentral:rRNA from 1 species